rnacentral:tRNA from 1 species
GCUUGUCUAGCUCAGUUGGCAGAGCACAAGGCUCUAAACCUUAAGGUCGUGGGUUCGAGCCCCACUAUGAACA